CGGCAACACCAACUAGAUCCUCUCCAAGCCGUGGACAACGCCUUAGCCCACAGCCGAAUCAUCAUGCUUUUACACCCCUCUGUACAACGGAUCAACAACAACCUGGUCAGUUCAAAUCGGAGAUGGAAACCGCCUGAAAAGGGAUGCCUUAAAUGUAAUGUUGAUGGGGCUUUUCGACCAGGGUCGGAGGAUGGAUCAAUUGCGUGUAUCUACAGAGAUUGUAAAGGAGUUCUUACCGAUGUGAUUACCAGAACUGUUCCAGCCCAAUCGGCCUCCAAGCUGAAAUCUAUGCUCUCAUAUCGGCUAUCCAACAUCUGAUCCAGCAGGGACUUCAUCUUCAACACAUCGUGAUUGAGUCUGAUUGUCUGUCGUUAGUGGAAAUCGUUCAGCAACAGCAGUAGCCACC
rnacentral:lncRNA from 1 species